UACGUAGGGUGCGAGCGUUGUCCGGAAUUAUUGGGCGUAAAGAGCUCGUAGGCGGCUUGUCGCGUCGUCCGUGAAAACCUGCGGCUCAACUGCAGGCUGGCGGUCGAUACGGGCAGGCUGGAGUUCGGUAGGGGAGACUGGAAUUCCUGGUGUAGCGGUGAAAUGCGCAGAUAUCAGGAGGAACACCAAUAGCGAAGGCAGCUCGCUGGGACGGUACUGACGCUAAGGCGCGAAAGCGUGGGGAGCGAACAGG
rnacentral:rRNA from 1 species